GAUGAACGCUGGCGGCGUGCCUAAUACAUGCAAGUCGAGCGAACGGACGAGAAGCUUGCUUUUCUGAUGUUAGCGGCGGACGGGUGAGUAACACGUGGAUAACCUACCUAUAAGACUGGGAUAACUUCGGGAAACCGGAGCUAAUACCGGAUAAUAUUUUGAACCGCAUGGUUCAAAAGUGAAAGACGGUCUUGCUGUCACUUAUAGAUGGAUCCGCGCUGCAUUAGCUAGUUGGUAAGGUAACGGCUUACCAAGGCAACGAUGCAUAGCCGACCUGAGAGGGUGAUCGGCCACACUGGAACUUAGACACGGUCCAGACUCCUACGGGAGGCAGCAGUAGGGAAUCUUCCGCAAUGGGCGAAAGCCUGACGGAGCAACGCCGCGUGAGUGAUGAAGGUCUUCGGAUCGUAAAACUCUGUUAUUAGGGAAGAACAGAUGUGUAAGUAACUGUGCACAUCUUGACGGUACCUAAUCAGAAAGCCACGGCUAACUACGUG
rnacentral:rRNA from 1 species